rnacentral:lncRNA from 1 species
UGCAUAGCCAGAUCAUCAACCAGUUCCUUGAAGAUGUCACCGCGUGAGACGAAGUCCGUCUCACAGUUAACCUCCAAGAGGACACCGAUUCUGCUGUCGUGGAUAUAGGAACCGAUUCUUCCCUCGGCUGUGGCUCUGCUGGCUUUCUUGUCUGCGCUCGCUAGUCCCUUCUUGCGGAGGUACUCUUGAGCUUUCACCAUGUCGCCUUCGCUCUCCAAGAGAGCGUUCUUGCAGUCCAUCAUUCCGGCUCCUGUUUCUUCUCUGAGUUGCUUCACUAAGGCCGGUGAAAUGCCAGCUGCAACAGAGAGAAGUUUCCCAUUAUAUCAUGAAGCAGAGAUCUACAGAAGCUAAAGAUGAGCAAAAGAAAUACCUUUGAUGCCACUUUCCUCAGUAGAAGCUUCUGUGACUACUGCGGCAGGAGUCUCGGCUUCAGCAACAGGUACUUCGGCCACUUUCUCAACGUCUUCACUUGCUACAGCUUCUGGAGAUGAAACUUCAUCAGGUAUAGCUUCAGCAACAGGUACUCCGGCUACCACCUCCUCCUUCUUCUCAACGUCUUCUGUUGCUACAGCUUCUGAAGAUGGAACUUCAUCAGGUACAGUUUCAGCAACAGGUACUUCAGCCACCACUUCCUCCUUCUUCUCAACGUCUUCGCUUACCACAGCCUCUGGAGAUGAAACUUCAUCAGUAGCUGAACUUUGAGGAAUAGAGUUCUCAGAAACUUCCUCUUCACCUGGUAACGAGUAGAAUAAACGGAUCAAUGAUAUUAAACAUUAAAACCAAUUAACUGAUUUAGUACUAGUAAAAAGGCAACUCAACCUACUUUUGGUUUCUGGAACUGGAGGAACAUCUGGCGUUUCCUCAACCUUUUCCACCUCCUCAACUUCAGCUGCUGCAGCAAGUGUUUCCGUUUGCUCUUCUGUCUCCUCUUCAGCUUUGGUCUCUAUCACUUCUUCUUCUUCUACCUUUGGAGUUUCUGAUUUUGCAUCUCUAUCUCCUUUUCCUUCAUCACAAUCUCUUCUGAAACAUCUUCAGGUACAAGGUACUCUACUUGAGGGCACGCAGCCACCUAUGUAACAAGUCAAUUUAUGUUUUAAGUUACAGAAAAUGAAGAAAAUGUUGUUAGCUAGGAUCUUUGGAGUUACUUACCUGCAUAGCCAGAUCAUCAACCAGUUCCUUGAAGAUGUCACCGCGUGAGACAAAGUCUGUCUCGCAGUUAACUUCCAAGAGGACACCGAUUCUGCUGUCGUGGAUAUAGGAACCGAUUCUCCCCUCGGCUGUGGCUCUGCUGGCUUUCUUGUCUGCGCUCGCUAGUCCCUUCUUGCGGAGGUACUCUUGCGCUUUCACCAUAUCUCCCUCGCUCUCCAAGAGAGCGUUCUUGCAGUCCAUCAUUCCGGCUCCUGUUUCUUCUCUGAGCUGCUUCACUA